rnacentral:rRNA from 1 species
UACGAAGGGGGCUAGCGUUGCUCGGAAUCACUGGGCGUAAAGGGUGCGUAGGCGGGUCUUUAAGUCAGGGGUGAAAUCCUGGAGCUCAACUCCAGAACUGCCUUUGAUACUGAGGAUCUUGAGUACGGGAGAGGUGAGUGGAACUGCGAGUGUAGAGGUGAAAUUCGUAGAUAUUCGCAAGAACACCCGUGGCGAAGGCGGCUUUCUGGGACGGUACUGACGCUGAGGCACGAAAGCGUGGGGAGCAAAACGG